CUACGGGGUGCUCCAGUGAGGAAUAUUGCACAAUGGGGGGAACCCUGAUGCAGCAACGCCGCGUGGAGGACGACGCAUUUCGGUGUGUAAACUCCUUUUAUAUGUCAAGAAAAUGACGGUAGCAUAUGAAUAAGCACCGGCUAACUCCGUGCCAGCAGCCGGCGGUAAUACGGAGGGUGCAAGCGUUACUCGGAAUCACUGGGCGUAAAGGACGCGUAGGCGGGUUGGAAAGUCAGGUGUGAAAUCCUACAGCUUAACUGUAGAACUGCACUUGAAACUUCUAAUCUAGAGUAUGGGAGGGGGAGAUGGAAUUAGUGGUGUAGGGGUAAAAUCCGUAGAUAUCACUAGGAAUACCUAAAGCGAAGGCGAUCUACUGGAACAUUACUGACGCUAAGGCGUGAAAGCGUGGGGAGCAAACAGGAUUAGAUACCCUCGUAGUC
rnacentral:rRNA from 1 species